AUUGAACGCUGGCGGCAUGCCUUACACAUGCAAGUCGAACGGCAGCACGGGAGCAAUCCUGGUGGCGAGUGGCGAACGGGUGAGUAAUAUAUCGGAACGUGCCCAGUCGUAGGGGAUAACGCAGCGAAAGCUGUGCUAAUACCGCAUACGAUCUAUGGAUGAAAGCGGGGGAUCGCAAGACCUCGCGCGAUUGGAGCGGCCGAUAUCAGAUUAGCUAGUUGGCGGGGUAAAGGCCCACCAAGGCGACGAUCUGUAGCUGGUCUGAGAGGACGACCAGCCACACUGGAACUGAGACACGGUCCAGACUCCUACGGGAGGCAGCAGUGGGGAAUUUUGGACAAUGGGCGCAAGCCUGAUCCAGCAAUGCCGCGUGCAGGAUGAAGGCCUUCGGGUCGUAAACUGCUUUUGUACGGAACGAAACGGUCCUUUCUAAUACAGGGGGCUAAUGACGGUACCGUAAGAAUAAGCACCGGCUAACUACGUGCCAGCCGCCGCCGUAAAAC
rnacentral:rRNA from 1 species